rnacentral:rRNA from 1 species
UACGAAGGGUGCAAGCGUUACUCGGAAUUACUGGGCGUAAAGGGAGCGUAGGCGGAUAGUUAAGUCAGAGGUGAAAGCCCAGGGCUCAACCUUGGAAUUGCCUUUGAUACUGGCUAUCUUGAGUAUGGGAGAGGUUAGCGGAACUCCGAGUGUAGAGGUGAAAUUCGUAGAUAUUCGGAAGAACACCAGUGGCGAAGGCGGCUAACUGGUCCGGUUCUGACGCUGAUGCGCGAAAGCGUGGGGAGCAAACGGG